CCUACGGGUGACUGCAGUGAGGAAUAUUGGUCAAUGGCCGUAAGGCUGAACCAGCCAAGUCGCGUGAAGGAAGAAGGAGCUAUGGUUUGUAAACUUCUUUUAUAGGGGAAUAAAGUGAGGAACGUGUGCCUUUUUGUAUGUACCAUAUGAAUAAGCAUCGGCUAACUCCGUGCCAGCAGCCGCGGUAAUACGGAGGAUGCGAGCGUUAUCCGGAUUUAUUGGGUUUAAAGGGUGCGUAGGUGGUUAAUUAAGUCAGCGGGGAAAGUUUGUGGCUCAACCAUAAAAUUGCCGUUGAAACUGGUUGACUUGCGUAUAUUUGAGGUCGGCGGAAUGCGUGGUGUAGCGGUGAAAUGCAUAGAUAUCACGCAGAACUCCGAUUGCGAAGGCAGCUUACUAAACUAUACCUGACACUGACGCACGAAAGCGUGGGGAUCAAACAGGAUUAGAUACCCCUGUAGUC
rnacentral:rRNA from 1 species